UAGUCCACGCCGUAAACGAUGAACACUAGGUGUAGGGAGCUCUUGCACUCUCUGUGCCGCAGCUAACGCGUUAAGUGUUCCGCCUGGGGAUUACGGCCGCAAGGCUAAAACUCAAAGAAAUUGACGGGGGCCCGCACAAGCGGUGGAGGAUGUGGUUUAAUUCGAUGCAACGCGAAGAACCUUACCUGGGCUUGACAUCCCGCGCUAUCCAGAGAAAUUUGGAGUUCCCUUCGGGGACGCGGUGACAGGUGCUGCAUGGCUGUCGUCAGCUCGUGUCGUGAGAUGUUGGGUUAAGUCCCGCAACGAGCGCAACCCUUGCCAUUAGUUGCCACCAUUCAGUUGAGCACUCUAAUGGGACCNCUUGCCGAUAAGGCAGAGGAAGGUGGGGGAUGACGUCAAGUCCGCAUGGCCCUUACGUCCAGGGGCUACACACGUCCUACAAUGGCCAGUACAGACCGAUGCGAGGCCGCAAGGGCGAAGCUAAUCGGGAGAAAACUGGGU
rnacentral:rRNA from 1 species